UACAGAGGUCUCGAGCGUUAGGCGGAAUCACUGGGCUUAAAGCGUGUGUAGGUGGAUCGUUAAGUACCUUGUGAAAUCCCACGGCUUAACCGUGGAACUGCUUGGUAUACUGGCGGUCUUGAGCCAGCUAGGGGCUACCGGAACAAAUGGUGGAGCGGUGAAAUACGUAGAUAUCAUUUGGAACGCCAAUGGUGAAAACAGGUAGCUGGGGCU
rnacentral:rRNA from 1 species